CUGAGCGAGCCAGCGAAUCGGAUUCCAUUACCAAUGAAGACUCCAGCGACAAUCAGAUCUCAAUCAAUCAGAACACAACAACGGCCCACGAUGGAGCCACAACCAUCAAGAGCACUCCGAAAGAUGAAAAGGAUUCACCCUCGCAUCGAAAUGAAGUUAGUCUGGUCUCCAGUGCCGGAGUGGUGGCAGGACCCGCGAGCAGUGGUGGGGUCAACUCGGGAAACAAAGAUGUCCUUGGCACACCCACAUCAAAUACGAAGAGCAAAUUAUCCACCAACUCCAGUGCGACGGCGAAGAAGAGCGGACACAUAAACAAGAAGAUUCGACAUCGAUGAUGACUGCUGCUGUAGGGUCCGCACGCUCGAACGACCCACUCCUUAUGUUCAAAGUUUAGAAAUUACAAUUUGUACAAGUAAUAAAACAUUUCUACACGCAGGAUGGGCUCGGCUUCAAAAUAGCAGGCUUGGGCUUGAUUGAUGAGAUACGGAUUCCCCAGUCGUAGUUCGAGUUACUCUGGACUUCAUGCUGAUGUCACUCCACUGGUGAUUUGGAAAUAUUCUAAGAUAAAAUUUUUAAUUUUAACCUUAAUUUCAACAAAGGAAACUUCGUUUUAAAAAAUUUUAAGAUUUGAGAUAAUAUUUUGCCGAAUUUAAAGUUACUUACUGUGUCUUUAAUAGUUUUAGCGUAUUGG